CCUACGGGUGGCAGCAGUCGAGAAUCAUUCACAAUGGGGGAAACCCUGAUGGUGCGACGCCGCGUGGGGGAAUGAAGGUCUUCGGAUUGCAAACCCCUGUCAUGUGGGAGCAAAUUAAAAAGAUAGUACCACAAGAGGAAGAGACGGCUAACUCUGUGCCAGCAGCCGCGGUAAUACAGAGGUCUCAAGCGUUGUUCGGAAUCACUGGGCGUAAGGCGUGCGUAGGCUGUUUCGUAAGUCGUGUGUGAAAGGCGCGGGCUCAACCCGCGGACGGCACAUGAUACUGCGAGACUAGAGUAAUGGAGGGGGAACCGGAAUUCUCGGUGUAGCAGGGAAAUGCGUAGAUAGCGAGAGGAACACUCGUGGCGAAGGCGGGUUCCUGGACAUUAACUGACGCUGAGGCACGAAGGCCAGGGGAGCGAAAGGGAUUAGAUACCCUGGUAGUC
rnacentral:rRNA from 1 species